rnacentral:sRNA from 1 species
UGUAUCUGAAGUCUGACGAGGAUGAGAACCUCCGGGGGGCAAGAGGUUCGACCCGAGCGAAGCGAGAGAACGUUGCGUCAGCAACGGCCCGCAGGGCGAGCCAUCCUCUAUCACCGGCAG